rnacentral:lncRNA from 1 species
GCAGAGUCGGUUUGAGUUGCAUGACUGACAUCUUCUGGCUACAGUGGAUAUUACAGAAAGACUGAAACUCCGCAAAAGUGUGUUUGAAAAAAAGAAAAGCACCCUGGAAUUUGGAUCAUUAAGACUCUAGACAUGUGACCUGGAGAUGCAGCAUCCAUCUUGUGACCAUGAAGCAAUAGGGAUAAGGGUAAAAGUCUACACAUUGCAGAUUGCAGAUAAAAACAUGAAAAGAUCCUGGCUGCCUGAUGACACUACAGGGGAGAAAUUGAGAGUAGAAAGAAGAAUGACGAGGUUUACGCUCUCCUGAGGAAGGACCCUCAAGAGAGGACCUUAUGAACACAAUUAGCUACUGAAAAAGACUUGGAAAAAAUUAUGGCACAAUGAAGAAAAUAAUCUUCAAGGCUCAGUGGAAGAAAAAGAAGAGAGGAGGUCUCAGAGAGCUGCCCUGUGAACAGGUGCCUUCUGCCAUGAUCAUAAGUUUCCAAGUCCUCUCCAGCCACGUGAAACUCAGGUGCUGAAUAAAUUUGCUGAACAUGAAUGUGGGCGGCAGAUUGAAGAUUCAAGGACGCCCAGAUGUCUGGUUUGAAUACCAUUAACUGAGAGAGAGAACUCUACAAAAGGAACAGGUUUGGAGGGAUAUAAGAUAUGCUCAGUUUUGGACAUGUUGAUUUUGAGGUGCUGUGAGAUUUCAUAGCAGAAAUGUCUAUCAGGAAACUGAAAACAGAUCUGGGGUUUAGGAAGGAGAUCUAAACUGGAGAUACAUCGCCAGAAAUAGCUAUAUUUCAGAGCUUUGCUCAAUAUUUAUAUGUUUUUUGCAGUAGAGAAUCAUACAUAACUUGAUUUUUCCAACUUAAAUGUAUAUCUUGAAGCUUUCCAUGUUCUUUAAUAUUCUUUUACAUUAUUUUCAUGAUUGAAUAAUGUUCCAUUGGGCAAUUGUCUCAUAGUUAUUUAACUAAUUGUCUUUCAUUGGAUAUUUAGAUUGCUAACAGCUUUUGUCAUUGAGUGUAAUCUGUAAUGGACAGUCUUCAGCUAAGACAUGGUUCUCACUAGUGAGUAAUUCUUGAAAAGUGUUUUCUAGAAGUGGAAUGGCUAAAUAAAUGAACAUACAAAA